CCGGCCAGCACGGCAGGGUCUGCCUCUGACAGCGUUUCCACCCACAGGGCCCGGCUUGCAGGGCUGGGACAAGAGGCCAGGCCUUACCGAUGGUGUUCUGGGCAGAUGUGCUCACCCGUGCAGCCUGGCAUCCCCAGACCCGGACCUGGGCUACGGUGCCCACCCUCCCACCAGGAUUGGCGGGGGGCAGGCGGGGGAGGGGAGGGUUGAAAGAGGGUGGGAGAGGCAGGUGGCCUGGGGUUGGGGUGGGCAUGAGGGCCGGUCAAAGGAGAUUUCUGCGGUUCUGGAGGACUGGUGAGUGAGUGGGUGCAAAGAAGGAACAGAGAUGUCAUGAGGGGUGACCUCCUCCUUCCCGAGUGUAGGCUGGCUGGAAUGGGCCCCUGACCCAGUGCACGCCCCAGUCCAGCCUACAAAGCCUGCAGGGGAUGGACAGCCAAUCCUCUCGGCUUUGACACCCAGAGGUACCCAGCCCCAUCAAGGCCUGCGGUUCAGUGCUAAGAAUCCCCUCCUCUGCCGACCCAGGCCUGCCCUGUCCCCACCCCUGACGCCCGAGCUGCUUUCCUCCACACCCCACCGACCCCUCCCUCCCUCCUCUCUCUUCUCCCUCUGCUCUCUGGGGCCUUGUCCCCUACUUUCUGCCUUGUCCCCUACUCUCUGCAGCUCCCUCCUCCCCUGCCACUGGCUCGCCUUGCGGACUCUCCUCUCUCGAGACCCUGCCUUUUUCUGGGCUCAGAGCCCUGCCUGGCCAGGGCCCCAGGGCUGGGCUGUGCCCAGGACACUGGAAGGUGUGGGAUGCUUUCCAAACACAGCCACCCAGAUGGGCUGGUGGCUUCACGGCUUGGUUUGUAGUGGCAUUUAGGGUCUCAGGCCCCUGGCUUUGGUCUGCCGGUGGGGGGGUGGUAUGGGAGGGGAUCUGGGCUGUCUGCCUGAGGCCAGGAUAUGGCCCUCCUCUCUGCCCUUGGCCCUCUGGGGGCUUGAGUUUCCCCAUAGGUACAGUGGGAGGGGGGAGGGCUGUGAACGCCAUGAUUUCCAAGAUUUCCACUUUAAAAACAAACAAACAAGAAAAAAUCAUUUUCCCUUCUCAUCUUGGGUGCUUGAGGAAUAUGUAAUUAUUUGGUUAUCAGUCAAAGCCAGUGGUUUACAAAUGGAACUCCUUGGAGCCCAAAGGUUCUGGGGAGGUACCUCUGGCAGCAGAUGGGGAGGGAUUGGAAGGGGGAGGCCAAGCAGAGAGGAUUGGGGGCUUCUCACACCCACUUCAGCCUGAACAGCUCCAUGGACCAGCCAUCGCAGUGGUUGAGAGAGCCUGGGUGAACUUUCAGCCCAUUAUUUGAAUCUCCUGAGCCUGUGUUUCCUCAUUCAAGCAACGGCUCAACCUCCUCCCCUUCCUUGGGAUGGAGGAGCGGGGACAUCCAGCCGGAAGACGGGAGUAACCCAGGGGGAUUUGCCCAGGAUUUGGGGAGCCCGGCCUGCAAGAGGAGGGAGGUCCAUUCAUGUUUUUACUAUGACUGAAACUGGACCUCAAGUCAAGAAGCCAGGGGUUUGAGCCUGGGCCCCACUGUUCCCUCCCUUGGGGACCUGGGCCAUCAGUUCCGUCAUCUGUGCAAGAGGAGAAGCACUGUGUUCAGGGAGGCUGGUGAGAGGCUCCCGCCUGGGUGGGCCUGGUGGAGUCGCACCGUGAUGCUCCCGUAGCCAACAUGUGCUCGGCCAAAGCAGGAACUACAACUUGGUCCCUAGAGACAGACCACUGAUUCCACCUGGGGCUUGACUGAAGAAGCAGUGAUCGGUUCCAACGCUGGAGGAAAAACUGGCGGGUUGGAGUUCAAGAUAUGACACAAUACUGUACUGUAUGGGCUUUUAAGGGCUUUUCAAGGCUAACUUUGACCAUCCUCUGUUUCUACCGUCCCUGCCCACCUUAGAACCAUGCUCUUCACGUGGUUCUAAGAGAUGUGACUCUCCUUUUGGUGACAGUUCACUUUCUAAAUGAAACUAACACGCUG